UACCAGCACCCCGAGUGGUCGGGACGAUUAUUGGGCCUAAAGCAUCCGUAGCCGGUUUUACAAGUCCUCCGUUAAAUCCAACUGCUUAACAGAUGGGCUGCGGAGGAUACUAUAAGACUAGGAGGCAGGAGAGGCAAGCGGUACUCAGUGGGUAGGGGUAAAAAUCCGUUGAUCCAUUGAAGACCACCAGUGGCGAAGGCGGU
rnacentral:rRNA from 1 species